rnacentral:lncRNA from 1 species
CUGUCAUCCAGGCUGGAGUGCAGUGGUGUAAUCUCGGCUCAUUGCAACGUCUGCCUCCCAGGUUCAAGCGGUUCUGCUGCCUCAGCCUCCUGAGUAGCUGGGAUUACAGGUGUGAGCCACCACGCCCUGCCUACUCUUUGUUUUCUUUCCUCCCCACCCAUUUUCCCCCGUCCUGUCCCCUCCUUCCAGCCUGAGAUGUAGGCUCCACCUUAACUGUGCUCAGAUACACAAGUGAGGGCUUUUUAACUUGAUUAUGCCUUUUAAAAAUACUAUGUAUGUAAAAUAUUUAUUCAUCUGCAAUUUGGCUUCCCUAACUUAACAUUGCAUCAUGAAACUCUUUGGAACAACAGCUAUCUAGAUAGCUGACUCAUUCUUUUGGAUUGCUACGUAAUCUCACUUAAUACAGAUGUAUCAUGAUUGAUUGAAUCAUUGCCUUGUUGAUGGGCCUUCAGAUUAUUUCCAGUUUUUUGCCACUGCAAACAAUAAACAUCCUUGUACAUACUACA